rnacentral:lncRNA from 1 species
UAAAUUUUUAUAUUUUAUAUUUUAUUUGUAUGCAUAUGCAAAAUUAUUUUUGUGCCUCCACAAUAAAUAGCCAAGACUUAUUCACAUGGGGCUUAAGGUUUUUCUUCUUUUUUAGAUGCAAUGCGAUGCAACGAAAUAAAUUUUUAUUAUUUUUAAUGCAAUAUGAAUGUGCUGAAUGUGGAAAAGUAAAUAUGGUAAAGUAAAAACUAUGCAGGGAAGUAAAUAUGAGGAUAACUAUCAAUGUAACCUUUCGAUGAAGGUUCAGAGAUCUAGGUCUAUCAAACCGGACCUUCUGGCUCGAUCAUGCACUUGUGUCUAAGGGGACGGAGUCCUCCCCUAAUUUCUCCUCUUCUCUCUUUACCUGAUGAGCUGGG